rnacentral:rRNA from 1 species
AGCGGUGGAGCAUGUGGUUUAAUUCGAAGCAACGCGAAGAACCUUACCAGGUCUUGACAUACUCGUGCUAUUCCUAGAGAUAGGAAGUUCCUUCGGGACACGGGAUACAGGUGGUGCAUGGUUGUCGUCAGCUCGUGUCGUGAGAUGUCGGGUUAAGUCCCGCAACGAGCGCAACCCCUAUUGUUAGUUGCCAUCAUUAAGUUGGGCACUCUAACGAGACUGCCGGUGAUAAACCGGAGGAAGGUGGGGAUGACGUCAAAUCAUCAUGCCCCUUAUGACCUGGGCUACACACGUGCUACAAUGGAUGGUACAACGAGUCGCGAGACAGUGAUGUUUAGCUAAUCUCUUAAAACCAUUCUCAGUUCGGAUUGUAGGCUGCAACUCGCCUACAUGAAGUCGGAAUCGCUAGUAAUCGCGGAUCAGCACGCCGCGGUGAAUACGUUCCCGGGC